AGCAAGUCCACUAGAGAACACCUGGCAGGUCCACUAGCAGGUCCACUAGAGACACCUGGCAGGUCCACUAGCAGGUCCACUAGAGAACACCUGGCAGGUCCACUAGCAGGUCCACUAGAGAACACCUGGCAGGUCCACUAGAGAACACCUGGCAGGUCCACUAGAGAACACCUGGCAGGUCCACUAGAGAACACCUGGCAGGUCCAC